CAAGAUCUAGAAAUAGCACUGUGGAAAAUUGCUUUUAUGUAAUCUUUCUCCGAGUGCCAUUCUGUGAAUACUUAUCAUCCCAGCAGAAACAAGUGGGAAAGAUCACAUCUUGUGGGGACUCUAGGGACACGCUGUGGCUCAGAGUCACGCCACUGCCUCACAGGCCUCUAGAAACCACUAGAAACUGGAGAGCAUUUUCAGCACAACAGGGAAGUUAGUAAGUGCAGGACCAAUCUGUGAAGUGAGGUCCAUCUCUGGUUUCAGUAUGGAUGGGCCGUUAGCUCAUGGGCUCCAAGCAGGAGUCCCCUAGGAACUACCAUUCUACUUUCUGUUUGUUGGAUUUUGACUCUUCCUGGCAUCUCAGGUGUAUGGCAUUAUUGUGCAUGCCUGUCACCUACCUCUGGGGUGGAAAUAGGCAGAUCCUGAGAGUUCUCUGACCAGCCAGAUUAUCCCAUACUGGAAUUGUCAGUGGCUGCCCAAAUAUCAAGAGCUCCUGGAUUAAAUUGAUAAACAUGCCUGCCUCUCACAAGCCGACUCUGUGUGGCUGGGUAAUUCUGAUGUGUUCUGAGGGGUAAGCUGUGCUGAUGUUUGCCUAACUCUGUGCUGUUUUCACUGUAACGUGAGGACUGUGACAGGUUGCUUGUUCCAAGGAUUUUGCUGGACCCAGCAAGGGAAUUACUGAAUAUCCUGAGACCCAUGUCUUCUGCCCUAUGAGUGACCUUCUCAGCAUGGCGCCAUGCCUCAGGGGUGGUUAGAGACAGACAGGAGUCUUCUCAAUAGGGGAAGUGUGUUGUGCCAUCGUUUUUCUGAAGUGCCACCCAGAUUGACUGCCCAGUUCUGAGGUGCAGGGUGAAGCAAGCUAACAGAGGAUUGGCACCAUGCUGUUAAAGGU